UUCUCUAGGCAAGAAUACUGAAGUGGUAACCUAGCCCUUCUCCAGGAGAUCCUCCCAACCCAGGAUUGGAACCGGGGUCUCCUGCAUUGCAGGUGGACUCUUUUCCAGAAGCAAUUCUGUUUCAAAUAGGAAGUGUAUCCUCUUUGGGUUCAGUUGUAGAAGCAACAAACUUACUGUGCCCUUGAUUUGCAUCUCUCUCAACUUUCACUUAUGGUGGGUCCCCUGGAAUCCAGUGCACAUGGACAGACAAACACCAUGUGUAAAUUGGGAGGUAAGGAGGCUCAGACCCAGGAAAGAAGGAAUGGUUUCCUCAUGAUUGCCCAGCUAGUUGGAAUCAGAAACCAGCUUUUGAUCCAGGUCUGAAGUAUUAAUUAUGACUCUCUGAAUGGACAUUGUACAGGAGACAGGGAUCAAGACCAUCCCCAUGGAAAAGAAAUGCAAAAAAGCAAAAUGGCUGUCUGGGGAGGCCUUACAAAUAGCUGUGAAAAGAAGAGAAGCGAAAAGCAAAGGAGAAAAGGGAAGAUAUAAACAUCUGAAUGCAGAGUUCCAAAGAAUAGCAAGAAGAGAUAAGAAAGCCUUCUUCAGUGAUCAAUGCAAAGAAAUAGAGGAAAAACACAGAAUGGGAAAGACUAGAGAUCUCUUCAAGAAAAUCAGAGGUACCAAAGGAACAUUUCAUGCAAAGAUGGGCUUGAUAAAGGACAGAAAUGUAUGGACCUAACAGAAGCAGAAGAUACUAAGAAGAGAUGGCAAGAAUACACAGAAGAACUGUACAAAAAAGAUCUUCACAACCCAGAUAAUCACGAUGGUGUGAUCACUGAGCUAGAGCCAGACAUCCUGGAAUGUGAAGUCAAGUGGGCC
ensembl:lncRNA